rnacentral:lncRNA from 1 species
AAGGGGUGGCUGUGGGGGGUUUUCCUUGAUAUGUCCUUGCCUCGGCGGAGGCAUGGUUGUAAGCUUGUGCCAUCACCUCAAAGUAAGUCUUCCAAGUGUUAGCAUUGAUCAUGUACUUGAAGAAACAAUCACGUAGGCCUGCCGUGAAGGCCUUGAGGGCGGUCUUGUCAUCUGCCUCAGCGCAGUGAGAAUACUCAUGGCUGAAACGACCGGUAUACUCU